rfam:Absidia repens strain NRRL 1336 BCR42scaffold_41, whole genome shotgun sequence.
CCCUUUAUAGCUCAGUUGGUAGAGCGGAGGACUGUAAUGAUUAAUUGUCAUCCUUAGGUCACUUGUUCGAAUCAGGUUGAAGGGA